rnacentral:ncRNA from 1 species
UUCUUUCAGGUCUGUGGUUGCGGUUUUUCCAAGUCCAAGGCAGAUGCGGUCAAAAGGAUCCACGUAAGCUAUCGGUACAAAUUAAUUGUCUGAAGCGAUCAUGGCGCAUCCUAGGGGUAAGUCGCACCGCUUGCGGGAUAUGCAGCAUAGGGCUGCACAAGCGAGAGAACGAUGUCGUAUAUGGCUUAGUUCCAGUGCGCGAGUGUGGGGGCAAAGACCAGGUCAGCUGAAGGAA